GCCGCGACCGUGAAGCGUGUUUGGGCGAGCUUCUAACCGUCUCGUUACAGAGACAACUUUUAUGACCUCUGACCUCAAAUCAGGUAGGACUACCCGCUGAACUUAAGCAUAUCAAUAAGCGGAGGA
rnacentral:rRNA from 1 species